UGGUGGAGUGAUUUGUCUGGUUAAUUCCGUUAACGAACGAGACCCCUGCCUGCUAAAUAGUCUGUUCUGUGGUAAUCACUGGAUGUGGCUUCUUAGAGGGACGUGCAUUCGACUAGUUGCAGGAAGAUAGGGGCGAUAAC
rnacentral:rRNA from 1 species